rnacentral:rRNA from 1 species
UUGGAGGGCAAGUCUGGUGCCAGCAGCCGCGGUAAUUCCAGCUCCAAUAGCGUAUAUUAAAGUUGUUGCAGGUUAAAAAGCUCGUAGUUGAAUUUCGGGAUCGACGGGUCGGUCGCGCCUCUGGUGUGUACUGGCCCUGUCGGUUUCUCCCUUCUGACGAACCACGAUGUCAUUAAUUUGGUGUCGUGGGGAAUCAGGACUGCUACUUUGAAAAAAUUAGAGUGUUUAAAGCAAGCACUCACUUGAAUACAUUAGCAUGGAAUAAUGAAAUAGGACGUUUGAUCUUAUUUUGUUGGUUUCUAAGAUCGACGUAAUGAUUAAUAGGGAUAGUUGGGGGCAUUAGUAUUCAAUUGUCAGAGGUGAAAUUCUUGGAUUUAUUGAAGACUAACUACUGCGAAAGCGUUUGCCAAGGAUGUUUUCAUUAAUCAAGAACGAAAGUUAGGGGAUCGAAGACGAUCACAUACCGUCGUAGUCUUAACCAUAAACUAUGCCGACUAGGGAUCGGAUGAUGUUAAUUUUUUAAUGACUCAUUCGGCGCCUUACGGGAAAC